UAUUGCAUGAACCGGUGUUCGAAUUCCAGCGUCAUCACUGCCAUUCAUCCACCAUCUGUUUCUACAGAUGAGAUGUCCGGCCUGGUGACACAUGCUGGGUUCGUUCUGAGAUCAUACGGUCGAAACUUGAUCUGGAUAAUACCAGCGAAAGGAUCCAUGCCUUCUCCAUCC
rnacentral:ncRNA from 1 species